rnacentral:rRNA from 1 species
CUUGUAGGUGGCCAUUUAAGUCAGAUGUGAAAUCGUACUGCUUAACAGUACAAUUGCAUUUGAUACUGAUUGGCUUGAGUGCAGGAAGGGAAAUUGGAAUUUCCGGUGUAGCGGUGAAAUGCGUAGAUAUCGGAAAGAACACCCGUGGCGAAGGCGGAUUUCUGGCCUGUAACUGACACUGAGGAGCGAAAGCUAGGGGAGCAAACA